CUGGCUCAGGAUGAACGCUAGCGACAGGCUUAACACAUGCAAGUCGAGGGGCAGCACGGGAGUAGCAAUACAACUGGUGGCGACCGGCGCACGGGUGAGUAACGCGUAUGCAACCUACCUAUCAGAGGGGAAUAACCCGGCGAAAGUCGGACUAAUACCGCAUAAAACAGGGGCACCGCAUGGUGAUAUUUGUUAAAGAGAUUCGCUGAUAGAUGGGCAUGCGUUCCAUUAGGUAGUUGGUGAGGUAACGGCUCACCAAGCCGACGAUGGAUAGGGGAACUGAGAGGUUGGUCCCCCACACUGGUACUGAGACACGGACCAGACUCCUACGGGAGGCAGCAGUGAGGAAUAUUGGUCAAUGGGCGGGAGCCUGAACCAGCCAAGUCGCGUGAAAGGAAGAAGGAUCUAUGGUUCGUAAACUUCUUUUGCAGGGGAAUAAAGUGCAGGACGUGUCCUGUUUUGUAUGUACCCUGAGAAUAAGGAUCGGCUAACUCCGUGCCAGCAGCGGC
rnacentral:rRNA from 1 species